CGUCAAUUCUGAUUUGUUCUGGUACUCGUGUUCGCCACAAUAUCAAUAAUUUUUAUUGUUAAUAAAUCUUCUGUACGUGUGUUUGUAAUUGAGCUCUUUCUAAACGGCUGGACCGAUUCUGAUGAAAUUUUUUGUGUGUAUUCAAGGAGUACAUAUCUGAAUGAAGAUUCAUAAAGGAUAGUUCGGCUGAACACAUUUGUUACGUUUUGGUACCAUCCAUUUCUUUCUUCUUACGAAUAUUACCAAAAACUAUUUAUUUUGAAAUUAAUUUGAAAUUUGUUACUGUUUCGAAGAACAUAUUUUACAUAAGUUCUUAUAAAUACUUCCUAACCUACAUAACUAUCCUUUACAUUUUGUUUUUGUAAUUUAAGGUUUUCAGAGAUACAAUUUCAAGU